UAGUGGUAGCAUUGUUUCUGAUGAAGAAAAACACCCUGGUAGCUUUAACUGACCUACUAGAUCUAUACUGGAUCUUAAUUCAAUCGUGAAGAACAAUGAAGAUAUAUGUUCCAAUUUUAUUAAUGUUUCUAUGGCUGCAGCUGGAUGGGGUGAGCCAAGGCGAGCAGCUGGAACAGCAUCCUUCCACCCUGAGCGUCCAGGAGGGAGCCAGCGCUGUCAUCAACUGCACUUACACAGACAGUCUCUCAUCCUACUUUCCUUGGUAUAAGCAGGGCCCUGGAGAGCAUCCUAAGCUCAUUAUUGACAUUCGAUCAACUAUGGAGAGAAAGCAGGACCAAAGACUGAUAGUUUUACAGGACAAGAAAGCCAAACACUUCUCCCUGCACAUCACAGACACCCAGCCUGGGGACUCUGCCAUGUACUUCUGUGCUGCAAGUGCACACUGCUCCCCAGGCACCUGCAGCCUGUUCUCAAACCUGCCACAGGGCCUGGAGCCCCAUCCACAUCCUGUGUCACAGGCCUUCCUGUGCAGCAUUUGUCAGUUGUUAGUUGUCAAAAGUCAAUUAUAGUGUAGACAUUAAAUACACAGAAAAGAAAGUUAGCUUCAAGUCACUCCAAACAAUUUAGGAGAAAUUUCUCCUUUUGUUUUUAAAAAUUAUUCUAAAACUUGAAAUACAAUUUUGUCAUUCCCUGCCUGUAAUGCAGCACUGUACUUCAGAGAAGAUGAGGUUGUAGCAAACACAGCCACAGGUGGGAUAUCUCCAUUACACACCCUCCUCCCAAGGUCACUGAGAAAGAGGUGCAGAAAGGAUGCCAGAACCAUAGUCAGGGGAUGAAACAAAGAGACAGUGUUUCCUGGCCACAUCAGGGCAGCUGCACACAUGAACUUCCAGAGGUCUACAUCAUGCAUAAGACAUGCAAAGGUUCAGGCCUGACACAAUUGCAGCAAG